UACGUAGGGUGCGAGCGUUGUCCGGAAUUAUUGGGCGUAAAGGGCUCGUAGGCGGUUUGUCGCGUCGGGAGUGAAAUCCACUGGCUUAACUGGUGGCUUGCUUUCGAUGCGGGCAGACUGGAGGUAUGCAGGGGAGAACGGAAUUCCUGGUGUAGCGGUGAAAUGCGCAGAUAUCAGGAGGAGCACCGGUGGCGAAGGCGGUUCUCUGGGCAUGUCCUGACGCUGAGGAGCGAAAGUGUGGGGAGCGAACAGG
rnacentral:rRNA from 1 species